rnacentral:rRNA from 1 species
AGCGAACGCUGGCGGCAGGCUUAACACAUGCAAGUCGAACGCAUCCUUCGGGGUGAGUGGCAGACGGGUGAGUAACACGUGGGAACGUACCUCUUUGUACGGAAUAGCUUUUGGAAACGAAAGGUAAUACCGUAUACGCCCUUUUGGGGGAAAGAUUUAUCGCAGAGAGAUCGGCCCGCGUCUGAUUAGCUAGUUGGUGAGGUAAUGGCUCACCAAGGCGACGAUCAGUAGCUGGUCUGAGAGGAUGAUCAGCCACACUGGGACUGAGACACGGCCCAGACUCCUACGGGAGGCAGCAGUGGGGAAUAUUGGACAAUGGGGGCAACCCUGAUCCAGCCAUGCCGCGUGAGUGAUGAAGGCCUUAGGGUUGUAAAGCUCUUUUACCUGUGAAGAUGAUGACGGUAGCAGGAGAAAAAGCACCGGCAAACUCUGUGCCAGCAGCCGCCGUAA